rnacentral:rRNA from 1 species
GACGAACGCUGGCGGCGUGCUUAACACAUGCAAGUCGAACGGAAAGGCCCUUCGGGGUACUCGAGUGGCGAACGGGUGAGUAACACGUGGGUGAUCUGCCCUGCACUUCGGGAUAAGCCUGGGAAACUGGGUCUAAUACCGGAUAUGACCUUGGGAUGCAUGUCCUUUGGUGGAAAGCUUUUGCGGUGUGGGAUGGGCCCGCGGCCUAUCAGCUUGUUGGUGGGGUUAAGGCCUACCAAGGCGACGACGGGUAGCCGGCCUGAGAGGGUGACCGGCCACACUGGGACUGAGAUACGGCCCAGACUCCUACGGGAGGCAG